CCUGGUACCUGUUUCCACCCUGCCCCCCACCUUCCGGGAAGAAGAGAACCAGGCUGAGGCUGGGCACGUGGAGGCCCAGCUUCCCUUGCAGCUACUGUGGUCAUGUGACUAAGUCCUGACCAGCACGCUGCGGUCAGCAGCAGCUUUGCCAUCUCUGGCUCACGCCGUUGACAGGAAAGGGCGUGUGUUUCCGUGCUUUCCUCUGCUCCCCCCGGGCUCGGAUGCACGU